rnacentral:other from 1 species
GGGGAGAUCAGCAAGCGCGGGCCUGGAGGAACGCGGCGGCGCGCGGACACCGCGAGGCCACGGGGAGCGGCCGGGUCCCCGGAGGCGCGUUCUUCGGCCGGGCCGGGAGCCGCACCAGGCCGAAAGCCCGGCCCAGCGCAAGCCGCCCCGGUCUCAGCGUCCGUCCGCCCCGAGCAAGGCCAGCGGACAUGACCGACCCACCAGGGGCCCCGCCCCGGCGCUCGCAGGCCGCGGGUGAAGAAGAAAACACCACCCCACACAGCCCGGAGCGAGGACAUGGCCCAGAGGGAGGAAGUGGUCCCGAGCAAGGAGAUGGCCCGGAGCGAGGAGAUGACCCGGAGUGAGGCGGUAGCCCAGAGCGAGGAAAUG